rnacentral:rRNA from 1 species
AACGAACGCUGGCGGCGUGCCUAAUACAUGCAAGUCGAUCGAGUAGCAAUACUAGAGGCGCACGGGAGAGGAACGCGUAGGUAAUCUGCCCACGAGUGGGGAAUAACCAGUCGAAAGAUUGGCUAAUACCGCAUAAGACCACAGGAUCUGCGGAUCUAGGGGUCAAAGGAGCAAUUCGCGUGUGGAUGAGCCUGCGUCCGAUUAGCUAGUUGGUAAGGUAACGGCUUACCAAGGCGAGGAUCGGUAGCUGGUCUGAGAGGAUGAUCAGCCUCACUGGAACUGAGACACGGUCCAGACUCCUACGGGAGGCAGCAGUAGGGAAUAUUGCUCAAUGGGGGAAACCCUGAAGCAGCAACGCCGCGUGAGUGAUGAAGGCCUUCGGGUCGUAAAGCUCUGUCGCAGGGGAAAAUCUAAGAUGGUACCCUGUAAGAAAGGACCGGCCAACUUCGUGCCAGCCGCCGCCGUAA